rnacentral:rRNA from 1 species
AUUGAACGCUGGCGGCAGGCCUAACACAUGCAAGUCGAACGAGUGGCGGACGGGUGAGUAAUGCCUGGGAAACUGACUGAUGGAGGGGGAUAACUACUGGAAACUGUCGCUAAUACCGCAUACCAUCGGAUGUGCCCAGCUGGGAUUAGCUAGUUGGUGGGGUAACGGCUCACCAAGGCGACGAUCCCUAGCUGGUCUGAGAGGAUGACCAGCCACACUGGAACUGAGACACGGUCCAGACUCCUACGGGAGGCAGCAGUGGGGAAUAUUGCGCAAUGGGCGCAAGCCUGAUGCAGCCAUGCCGCGUGAAUGAAGAAGGCCUUCGGGUUGUAAAGUACUUUCAGCGAGGAGGCGUUACCCGCAGAAGAAGCACCGGCUAACUCCGUGCCAGCAGCCGCGGUAAUAC